UACAGAGGUCCCGAGCGUUGUUCGGAUUUAUUGGGCGUAAAGGGUGCGUAGGCGGCGGAGUAAGUUGGGUGUGAAAUCCCGAGGCUCAACCUCGGAAUUGCAUUCAAUACUGCUUCGCUCGAGUACUGGAGAGGAGGCUGGAAUUUACGGUGUAGCAGUGAAAUGCGUAGAUAUCGUAAGGAAGGCCGGUGGCGAAAGCGAGCCUCUGGACAGUUACUGACGCUGAGGCGCGAAAGCGUGGGGAGCAAACAGG
rnacentral:rRNA from 1 species